UAAAAGGGUGCUUGCCACUACACUUUUAUGGCACAUCUGCGUGGCGUCUAGCUGGUUUACGCCCAGCGGGAUGACCGCGCCGGUGGGGUAUGGCUAUCAAGACAUAUCCAGCACGCAAUUUUUGUGAACCCGAAGGCAGUUGAUUCGCUUCUUUGCGUCGACGCCUUC